rnacentral:siRNA from 1 species
GCUCAAUCCGGUUGUUUUCAAUGC